CCGUCCACGGUGGCAAAGAACCACAACACGAUCGUGUUGUCGUCGUCGCGCCACUGCGGAUUGGAGAGGCGGACGGCCGCACCGUCCUGGACAUGGUUUUCGACGUGGUAGCGGGCGAGGAUGAGGUUGAGGAAGUUGCGCCACCGGAUGAAGUUUGUCCCAUCAAGGGGCAGCUUGAAAUCCACAACAUCAGAGAUGCUGGAAGGGAGGCGGGAGGGUGGUGGAGCAAGGAGGUUCGCAGCCGGGAGGGGCGCAGCCGGGGCAGUGGAGAGGGAGAGGUCACCGGGGAGGGG
rnacentral:lncRNA from 1 species